rnacentral:rRNA from 1 species
CUUUACUGUAGCCUGGAAUUGGCUUCGGGCUUCGCUUGCGCAGGAUAGGUGGGAAGCGUUGAAAGUCCCCUCGCGGGGGGACUGGAGCUAACGGUGAGAUACCACUCUGGCGAGGCUAGAAUUCUAACCCUGACCCGUAAUCCGGGCGGGAGACAGUUUCAGGUGGGCAGUUUGACUGGGGCGGUCGCCUCCUAAAAGGUAACGGAGGCGCGCAAAGGUUCCCUCGGUCCCGUUGGAAAUGGGACGAUAGAGUGCAAAAGCAGAAGGGAGCUUGACUGUGAGACCCACAAGUCGAACAGGGACGAAAGUCGGCUUUAGUGAUCCGACGGCACCGCGUGGAAGGGCCGUCGCUCAACGGAUAAAAGUUA